rnacentral:rRNA from 1 species
UACGUAGGUGGCAAGCGUUGUCCGGAUUUACUGGGCGUAAAGAGCGCGCAGGCGGUCGUUCAAGUCGCGUGUGAAAGCCCCCGGCUCAACUGGGGAGGGUCACGCGAUACUGAUCGACUCGAAGGCAGGAGAGGGAAGUGGAAUUCCUGGUGUAGCGGUGGAAUGCGCAGAUAUCAGGAGGAACACCGAUGGCGAAGGCAGUUCUCUGGGCCGUAACUGACGCUGAGGAGCGAAAGCGUGGGGAGCGAACAGG